AGAAUCUAACUUCAGGACGGGGACAACAGUGGGAAACGACUGCUAAUACCCGAUGUGCCGCAAGGUGAAAACUAAUUGGCCUGGAGAAGAGCUUGCGUCUGAUUAGCUAGUUGGUGGGGUAAAGGCCUACCAAGGCGACGAUCAGUAGCUGGUCUGAGAGGAUGAGCAGCCACACUGGGACUGAGACACGGCCCAGACUCCUACGGGAGGCAGCAGUGGGGAAUUUUCCGCAAUGGGCGAAAGCCUGACGGAGCAACGCCGCGUGAGGGAGGAAGGUCUUUGGAUUGUAAACCUCUUUUCUCAAGGAAGAAGUUCUGACGGUACUUGAGGAAUCAGCCUCGGCUAACUCCGUGCCAGCAGCCGCGGUAAUACGGGGGAGGCAAGCGUUAUCCGGAAUUAUUGGGCGUAAAGCGUCCGCAGGUGGUCAGCCAAGUCUGCCGUCAAAUCAGGUUGCUUAACGACCUAAAGGCGGUGGAAACUGGCAGACUAGAGAGCAGUAGGGGUAGCAGGAAUUCCCAGUGUAGCGGUGAAAUGCGUAGAGAUUGGGAAGAACAUCGGUGGCGAAAGCGUGCUACUGGGCUGUAUCUGACACUCAGGGACGAAAGCUAGGGGAGCGAAAGGGAUUAGAUA
rnacentral:rRNA from 1 species